GCACUUAAAAAAAAUAUUACUUCAUAUUCCCAAAAAGCACAAAGCUGUCCCAUCCAAUACUAUUCAAUCUACCGUAUCCAAGUCGGAAUGACCGCAUACCUGUUCCUGCCUCAGGCCAUGUGGAAUUAGCACAACUUUGCCUGCUUGGUUUCCUGCUGUUUGUUUUAGGAAUGCAUUUGUUUGUUUUUAAACAUUAGAUUUAAACAUUAGAUUGUGCGCCUCUUUAGGACUUCGGCACUUUCUGGAAGUUGUGCGUAGCCUGGAUCCUUUUUCAAAGCCGCUCUCCAGCUGUUCCAUGCAUGGGAUUCCCUGCUGCCGUCACGUUGAAAACAACUGAAAUUGGCUAACUAGCUCUGGAGAAGUCGAUUCUACUGACAUAGAGGACCUGCAUGAAGACCAGAUGCCAGUCUAACUAGAUCCCCUGCUGAAAACUGAUACUGAAGAUAUCUUGGUCUGGAGGAAGAGCUCAUUACCCAGGAGAUGUCACUGGUCUCUGAUUCAUUUCCACAAGUCUGACAUGCAUGCCGGAAAAUAAGGGUCCCCAUGUUGGAUACAGAAAUCCGCACAUCUGACUUCAUCUGACAUGCUUUUAUUUGGCACAUUCUCCAGCCUCCAUGUUCAGAGAGAGAACAGCCCAGCGGGGAGCUGACUGGCGGUGUGUUGGAAUCUCAGGAGUGUUUCCAAGUCUGUGCAGAUCUGGCUGAAUGGACCAGUGUUUCUCAAACAGAGUGUCUGGAGACACGUCCAGGUGUGCAGCAAACGGUGUGGAACUUUAUUCGACAUACACAUGUUUCCGAGUGGUGGUCUGAUAGCAAACACAUGGUAUGAAACCAGAAAUACUUUUUUGUGGACUCUGAGGAAGACGUCCCAGAUGUCAAAAUGUCAGUUUUAUUAAAGGCGUUAUG